AUGGAGUUCACGGGGCCGGAGCACGCCGCCGGGACGCCCCCCGGGACGCGCUCGCCCUCCGACGCCUCCUCGGGGAACAGCGGCGAGGCGAGGUACCGCGAGUGCCUGCGCAACCACGCCGCGGCGCAGGGCGGGCACGCCGUGGACGGCUGCGGGGAGUUCAUGCCCUCCAGCGCCCACGACCUGCUCAGGUGCGCCGCCUGCGGGUGCCAUCGCAGCUUCCACCGCAGGGACGACGGGCAGCAGCAGCAGCACCCCCGCCUCUUCCUCCCUGCGCCCGGCGCCACGUCGACGACGCCGACGCCGCGCGCGCCGCCGUUCGCGUACAACCCCCACCACCAGCACUACCAACGCACACCCAGCGGCGGUGGCACGACGACCGAGUCGUCCAGCGAGGAGCCCGACCCGGGACCGCCCUCGACGUCGGCUCCAGGGCAGGGGCACGGGCAGGCGCAGCGGCGGAAGCGGUUCCGGACGAGGUUCACGGCGGAGCAGAGGGAGCAGAUGCUGGCGCUGGCAGAGCGGGUGGGGUGGCGGAUGCUGAAACAAGACGAGGCCCUGGUGGAGCAGCUGUGCGCGCAGGCCGGCGUGCGGCGGCAGGUCUUCAAGGUCUGGAUGCACAACAACAAGCACCACAGGAGGCAGCCAGAGUCCCAACAGCAGCAACAAAAACAGUAG
rnacentral:rRNA from 1 species